AGUGAACGCUGGCGGUAGGCCUAACACAUGCAAGUCGAACGGCAGCACAGUAAGAGCUUGCUCUUACGGGUGGCGAGUGGCGGACGGGUGAGGAAUACAUCGGAAUCUACUUUUUCGUGGGGGAUAACGUAGGGAAACUUACGCUAAUACCGCAUACGACCUACGUGGGAAAGCAGGGGAUCUUCGUACCUUGCGCGAUUGAAUGAGCCGAUGUCGGAUUAGCUAGUUGGCGGGGUAAAGGCCCACCAAGGCGGGGGUCCGAAGCUGGUCUGAGAGCGUGAUCCACCACCUGGGACCUGAGCAACGGCACAGACUCCUAGGGGAGGACGCGGUGGGGAAUAUUGGGCAAUGGGCGCAAGCCUGAUCCAGCCAUACCGCGGAGGUGAAGAAGGCCUUCGGGUUGUAAAGCCCUUUUGUUGGGAAAGAAAAGCAGCAGGUUAAUACCCCGCUGUUCUGACGGUACCCAAAGAAUAAGCACCGGCUAACUUCGUG
rnacentral:rRNA from 1 species